AAUCUUCCACAAUGGACGAAAGUCUGAUGGAGCAACGCCGCGGGAGUGAAGAAGGUUUUCGGAUGGUAAAUCUCUGUUUUGAGGGAAGAACAAGUACAGGAGUCACUGUCUGUACCUUGACGGUACCUCACCAGAAAGCCACGGCUAACCACGUGACAGCAGCCGCGGGAAUACGUAGGUGGCAAGCGUUGUCCGGAAUUAUUGGGCGUAAAGCGCGCGCAGGCGGUCCUUUAAGUCUGAUGUGAAAGCCCACGGCUCAACCGUGGAGGGUCAUUGGAAACUGGAGGACUUGAGUACAGAAGAGGAAAGCGGAAUUCCACGUGUAGCGGUGAAAUGCGUAGAGAUGUGGAGGAACACCAGUGGCGAAGGCGGCUUUCUGGUCUGUAACUGACGCUGAGGCGCGAAAGCGUGGGGAGCAAAC
rnacentral:rRNA from 1 species